rnacentral:misc_RNA from 1 species
CGUAACAAGGUCUCCGUUGGUGAACCAGCGGAGGGAUCAUUACUGAGUUUACGCUCUACAACCCUUUGUGAACAUACCUACAACUGUUGCUUCGGCGGGUAGGGUCUCCGCGACCCUCCCGGCCUCCCGCCUCCGGGCGGGUCGGCGCCCGCCGGAGGAUAACCAAACUCUGAUUUAACGACGUUUCUUCUGAGUGGUACAAGCAAAUAAUCAAAACUUUUAACAACGGAUCUCUUGGUUCUGGCAUCGAUGAAGAACGCAGCGAAAUGCGAUAAGUAAUGUGAAUUGCAGAAUUCAGUGAAUCAUCGAAUCUUUGAACGCACAUUGCGCCCGCCAGCAUUCUGGCGGGCAUGCCUGUUCGAGCGUCAUUUCAACCCUCAAGCUCUGCUUGGUGUUGGGGCCCUACAGCCGAUGUAGGCCCUCAAAGGUAGUGGCGGACCCUCCCGGAGCCUCCUUUGCGUAGUAACUUUACGUCUCGCACUGGGAUCCGGAGGGACUCUUGCCGUAAAACCCCCCAAUUUUCCAAAGGUUGACCUCGGAUCAGGUAGGAAUACCCGCUGAACUUAAGCAUAUC